AACAACACAUAAUAUCCAUUCGAUAUUUUAUCCCAUUACCUACAUAGGUCAUUGUGUUCCCAAGACAGUUGUUCGGUCUCUUCAUACAUAAAUCUAACGCGAUAAUUCAAAACAAAAGAUGGCGCCCGUCUACUUGUCAUUAAAAAUGUUUAAUUUGUCCUUUCAAAUACAAAUAUUUAACAUUAAACCGCUGAAGUUCUUUUGCCCCGAUUAAUUAAUUACGGUAUACCCAGAUUUCAUUCCACGAUUUUCAGCCAUCGCCCACCCGAUCUGUCGGUCGUUUCACAAACGCUGUAUCAUUAUGCGUUGUGCGUUACGUAGAUCACCUAUAAGUGACAUUCAAUUCCAAUUGUAUUACUGAAUGAUUAUUAGAACGUUUAAAUGUCUGGUAUUGUCGGUUAGGAAUAGACAGUAAAUACGUGUAGUGCGGUGUGAAUGUAAUUCGAACGGUUUAAUUUCCAAUUGUGACCUACGGGACAAGCAUUCGUGAAACGAUAACUCGUAUUGCCCGUUAUCUUUUGUAAUAAUUAUUUUUAGAUUCUGGACGAUGCCGGGAAUGUAU